rnacentral:rRNA from 1 species
UAGCGGAGGAAAAGAAACCAACAGGGAUUGCCUUAGUAGCGGCGAGUGAAGCGGCAAAAGCUCAAAUUUGAAAUCUGGCACUUUCAGUGUCCGAGUUGUAAUUUGAAGAAGGUAUCUUUGGGUCUGGCUCUUGUCUAUGUUUCUUGGAACAGAACGUCACAGAGGGUGAGAAUCCCGUGCGAUGAGAUGUCCCAGACCUAUGUAAAGUUCCUUCGAAGAGUCGAGUUGUUUGGGAAUGCAGCUCUAAGUGGGUGGUAAAUUCCAUCUAAAGCUAAAUAUUGGCGAGAGACCGAUAGCGAACAAGUACAGUGAUGGAAAGAUGAAAAGAACUUUGAAAAGAGAGUGAAAAAGUACGUGAAAUUGUUGAAAGGGAAGGGCUUGAGAUCAGACUUGGUAUUUUGUAUGUUACUCUCUCGGGGGUGGCCUCUACAGUUUACCGGGCCAGCAUCAGUUUGAGCGGUAGGAUAAGUGCAAAGAAAUGUGGCACUGCUUCGGUAGUGUGUUAUAGUCUUUGUCGAUACUGCCAGCUUAGACUGAGGACUGCGGCUUCGGCCUAGGAUGUUGGCAUAAUGAUCUUAAGUCGCCCGUCUUGA